rnacentral:misc_RNA from 1 species
GAAAUGCGAUACCUGGUGUGAAUUGCAGAAUCCCGCGAACCAUCGAGUCUUUGAACGCAAGUUGCGCCCGAGGCCACUUGGCCGAGGGCACGCCUGCCUGGGCGUCACGCCAAACACGCUCCCACCCCUCAUCGGGUUGUGGGAUGCGGCAUGUGGCUCCCCGUCUUGCAAGGGGCGGUGGGCCGAAGAUGCGGCUGCCGGCGUAUCGUGCCGGACACAGCGCGUGGUGGGCGAACUCGCUUUACUUACCGCAGUGCAUCCGGCCCAUAGCCGACGUGAUGGCCUUAAGGACCCUAUGAACGGAGCGCAUGACGCUCCGACCGCGACCCCAGGUCAGGCGGGACUACCCGCUGAAUUUAA